UAUGAAAGAGAGAAGGAAAAUAGGAUGCAUAUCCUAAGAGCAUAUCAUCCGCUAUUGUUAUUUCUUUGAAGCUAAAUAGUUUAUUAUCUUUUAUUGGACAAGGUCCAUCGCAAGGAAUUUAACUCCAAGUGGGUUAAUAUUGUCAUACGGAGUAAGAAGCAUACGAGGUUGAGCUGUGAUGGAGGGAAGGGUGCUAAUUAAACCAGACCUACUUAUAGUUCCAUUCAAUACUCUCGGAGGUUCGUGUCUUCAUACAUGGAACCGCGUUCAGUUCCUUCCGCUGUGCAUUAAAGCAAGUGAAAUUCUUUAUUUCUCUAAAGACUCUGAUAAUUAACCAGUAUAUUGUAUUGUCCCCGACUCGAGUCAUUGUGAUCGAGCCAUUCUAUUCAUGUAUUCAAUGUUUAUACUCUACAGUCAGAAAGUUCAACCAUGAAGUCCAUUUUUUUUA